AGUAUCCCAUUUACUAGAAACAAAAAUGGUGAAGAGUCUUGGAGCACCGUGAAGACCUUCAAUGUUUUGGAGAGGCAUAGACUUUGAUGGACUCUAGCCUAUUUCUGUAUCAAAAGGAGGUUGUGACUCAUGAAGGCUUAUUCUACAUAGAACUUGCUAGUCCUUGAAGAGUCAAAAGAUUUAUUGUUGGUUUUGCUUCAUCAGGUUACAAGAUCAUACAGCUUUUUCCAUGGAAAUCACUCAAAGACAAAUCAACCUGGAGGCCUGUUACAUGUUUUGGGGCCUACCACAAGCAUCAGCCAAGGUACAUGUUGAAGCAGUAUACCAAAAAUGGAAGACAACAACAAUAAAAUUAUUAACAGCAAUGAACAACAAUAACAUUGACAAACAGGAACAAUAUUUGUUAAAAGCAAUAACAAGGUAAGCAUUAAGAUUUCUUCUUUCCGUUUUCAAAUCUCCCAUCGUUGAUAGUUGUUUGAGCAGCUUGUUUUGAAAAAAAAACUACACAUGAUUCAUGCCGCACAUAUUUUGAGCCUCAUCAUAACAUACUUCACUUGAUUGACCAACAGAGAAAUGUAACAGUUUUUGGCUAUCAACUUCCUCAAUUCUUUGGAACGGUAAACGAUUUUUAGAGGUUCAAUGAGGGAAGUAAAUUACAGUAAACACAAUUCUGCCAUUUUUUCAGUGUCAUUGAUUGUGGUGGAAAAGCUAUGCUUAAAUUACUGAUAUGUAAGGGUGAUUAAUUUGGAUGAGUUCUUACACUUAAUAUUAAAAUACAUAAGGAUGUAUCAAAUGACAGUGUCUUGGGUGCAACUUGGUCAAAGUCAACACUCAUCUCAGUUAGUUGGAAAGAGGCACGCCAUAUUUAGAGUAGAUUCAUAAGAAUCUAUGAUAGAUGAUGAGGGUUUAAUUAAUCUACUUUAUGUGUAAGCCUAAAUCAAAUGGUUUGGCCCAACUAUUUCAACUGAAGUAGGCACACAGUUAGUCCUAAUCAGUUUAACUCGUGUGUUUGUGUGUGUGUUUUCUGUGCGGUCGAGUUGGAACUGACUUAUAACGACCCUAAUAGGAUUUUCAAGGUAAGUCAGACAUUUAAUGAGUGUUUUUACCUGUUCCACUCCUCCAGUGUGUUUCCACUGUCAAGUGGGGAUUCAAACUCAGUUCUCUCCCAGGCUAUCACUUUAUCCAUUACACCAUACUGAGAAUCUUUGAGUAGACCCACUGAAUCAAUAAAAACACCAACAUUUAGGUAAAUUCCA
rnacentral:lncRNA from 1 species